ensembl:lncRNA
UGGAAAAUGACUUGGAUGUGGGAAUAAAGAACAGGACAACAAAUCCCAAAAAGGAAGACAAACUGAAAGUCAUGAAAAAAAGUUCAAACGUACAACAUGCUACAGAUAAUGACAAACAAAGAAAAGUAAUAAAAGGAAGUCCAAAUGAACAAAAUGCCAAAGGACAUGUUAAAAUUGUAAGGAAACAUGUUCAAGAAGAUACUGACAUGGAUUUUUUUCUUGCAGAAUUAGAGCAACUGGAAAAUGACUUGGAUGUGGGAGUAAUGCACAGAACAUCAAAUCCAAAACAUCAAAUCCAAAUCCAAAACGAAGACAAACAAAAAUUUGUGGAUGAAAGUCAUAAGGAACAACAUGCUACAGAGGAUGAUAAACAGAGCAAAGUUGUCAAAGGAAAUGCAAAGCAACAACAUGAUAUGAAGUUAGAGAAACAAGCAAAAGACGAAACCGAAGGGAAUUUGUCAAGUGCCUGGGGAUCAAAUUCCAAAAAGGUAGACACACUUAAAGAUGCAAAAGAAAGUUCCAAGGACAAACAUGCUAGAGAGGAUGACAAAAAAAGAAAAGAAAAUGAACUCAUUCAAGAUGAAAAAACUGCCAAAGAACAUGUGAAAAAUAUAGGCAAACAAGUUGAAGAGACUACCAUGGAUUUGGUAAUUGAAGACCUUGAACUGCUGGAAAGUGGGAAUGAUGGGGGAUUGAAGCUCAAGAGAUCAAAUACUAAAAUGGAAGACAAACUUAAAGUGACAAAAGAAAGUCCAAAUGAAGAACAGGCUAAAAGAUUCGAGACACAAGUAAAAAAAGAAACCAAAGUGAAUUUGUCUAUUGAAAAGCUAGCACUAAUGGAAAAAGACACCGAUGGAGGAAUGAAGAACAUGAGAUCAAAUCCCAAAAAGGAAAACAAACAAAGAAAAGCACUGAAAGAAAGACAAAUAGAACAAAAUGCCAAAGGAAGUAACAACGGAAAGACAAAGGACACACAAGUCAUAGAAGAGACCGACGCAACCUACAAGAAAGAAAUCCAAACAGAGAUGCCGAAGUCAAUUCUUGACAAGAUACGCAAUAAAAUCGACCAACACAGAAUCCAAAAGAAGGAAAAACAGAAACAAAAAAAUCUUAAAUUCCUUCAAGAAGCAUUGACCACUCAUGAAGUAUUAGAUGUGGCAUUAAACAUACAUGCCAAAAAGAAGCCUAGAAAAUGGGUCAAAUGCCAGGAUUUUUCAAUAUUUCAGUGUAAAUGAACUGCACCGUAGAUUCCCUGGAUGCUGCAAUCAACUGAAACGUGCCAUGUGGUUCUGGAACAUGAUUUUCUUAAUUUGUAUUCAAGAUCAAAUAAACUAGUGUGUUGUCCACAAGCAU